rnacentral:tRNA from 1 species
GGAGAGAUGUCCGAGUGGUUUAAGGAGCACGCCUGGAAAGUGUGUGUACGUUUAUAGCGUACCAAGGGUUCGAAUCCCUUUCUCUCCGCCA